rnacentral:lncRNA from 1 species
AUUUAUUAUGUAUAAACAAUUGGUAUUUCGUUGCUUCACAAGAGGAAGCACUAAACUAAUCAAAGAUAUCAAGAACAAUGACAUGUUGCUAACAAUAAUUUUGAUGGAUCCAUUCCACCACAUGAAAGAAUAAUAGGAUAGGCCGCGCAAUGAUUCUAUAGCCAACUCGCGUGCUAAAACCAUGCUUUAAGGCAUGUGCCAUGUUCUAUGCAGUUGAAGAGUCGUUGAAAUCAAAUAUGUGAUGAAACUACGAAUAUUACAUACCAUAGAUGUUGAAAAUUAACUUUAAAAUCCCCCAUUACAAGAAUCACGGGCAUAACCCAAAUUGAUGGUAUUCUUUCGUUGAAGUGAUGUCAAGAGCAAUGAAUUGGUUUGAAAUCUACCAUUUAAACUGAUACAAGUAUAUCUAACAUUGAUUGGCUAUGAUGACUGCCUAUGUACCAUAUAAUCAUAUUUCACGCAUAAACUAUCCUUGAGGUUCUUGCUAUGAUACAACAAAGUUCACUUUCAGCAUUCCCGAACUAAAGUCUACUUCAACAAGUGAGUUCACCUUCUAGGGCAAUCUUUAGAAAGCCCAAAAAAAAUUCUGCAUGGAGAAGACAAUGAAAGAAUAAUGACACACGAGUGAUUUGAGAAUUAUAAGUAUGAUAAUAAAUCUGUGUAAAAUGUCAGCGAAAGGCAAACGACAGUGAAAGCAGGACAAUUUUGUAGCACGAAGAAGCUAACUUGUUUCAAUCAAAAGAAAAUAGCCCGUAAACAAAGUUUUCCCACAAUACUGCUAGUUAAAUGACCAGACACCUUAUGUUUUGAAUGGUGUUAUUUUUUAUUGAUGGAAAAUACUUCACCAGGAUUUUUAAUCAGAACUUACAACUGAGACGGAAAUAGAAGGUUCUUCCCUUACUGUACAGUAUGGCCCCUAUAUUCUAGAACAUAAUCAAUUUUUGCAAUGUAAGUAUAUGUACAAGAUUGUGAAGAAUUUUUUGGCAAUAGCUCGAACUUAGAUCCCAUAAUGUUGGUAAAAUCAAUUCUGUAGUAAUAGAAAUUUUUCAAAAAAUAAAAAUCAAGUUAAAUGUUAGCAGUACCAAAGUAUUUGUACCAACAAUUUCUUCAUAAGGGCAGCCAAAGCAGUCACAAGUAUACAAAUAGUCAACACAAUUUUGGUCCAAAACAAUAAGUAAAAGAGAGAAUGGCAUGACUAGCAUCAUGCUAAGAAACUUCAGAUGAUAUGCAAACAAAGACUGGAUGGAGUCCUGUAAACAAAUAUGCAGAAUGCACUAAGAAGGUAACUAAUUAAAAAGGAGGGAUAAGCCCAUAAAACACCUCUCCGACACACAGGAGGGUUAUUAAUUAAUAAUUACCAACUCGAGAAAAGAGAAGUCAAUUAGCUCUCAUUUUUAGUGUUUCAUCUUCCGAGAAGCAUAAUUUUUAGUCACAUUCAAACCAAAUUCAGCCAAUGAUUUUUUUAUGCAGGAUGUGACAAAGGAAGAGAAUGCGAGAAAAUAGGAAGAGAGGAGAAGAAAAUGGACAGAAAUAUAGAGAAGGGCGAGAGAUUUAACAGGAAAAUCUGUCAUUCAGCAUUCAUAAUGUCGUAUGAAAUGGUAAAAGCCAGGCCCUCCUUUAUAUAACAAAGAAUUAAAGUCUAAUAGAGCUUUUAGUAAAUAACAAAUAUUAUUUCAGUUCAGUGAAUAACAAUUAUUAAAUCAACAAAAUCACAGUUAACAAAAUUACUGAAUCUAGUCUAUAUCAAACUCUAUCUUGAAUCUUAUCUAUCAUAAGAUAUCUAUUCUUGUACAAAAUGGAUGACUAUAUUCAUAAAUACAGUGUCAUUAAUAGGAUACAUGUAUACACAUUAAGUAGCAUCCAUUUAUAAAGAGUAUAAAUAGGAGCUUUGAUUGUAUUUUGAACACAAUUUUUUUAUUAGUCUGAUAUUAAGUCUAAUUUUAUAUGAAAGGUGCCAUCCUUCUCUGUUUGAUUGACUACAUAGGAGUUGUGGAUUCCUUAAUCUUGUAUUUACUUAGCUUUUCUUUGGAUGGUAAUAAUUGUGUCAUGGGGUAUUUCUAUUUGGAUGGUGAGCUAUUCUAUCAUUUAUUUAUUCCUAGAAGAAGAAUAAAUACAUUUAACACGUGCCUAAGCCUAUAGAAAUUGCUUCAUGUCGGCUGAUACUUGGUAAUCAAAAGGAGAUGCCACCCCACUUCUUUUCCUUUUAGGUUCACAAUUUCAGUGUAAGAUGAGAAAGAGGACCUAAUAAAGAC